UACGUAGGGUGCAAGCGUUAAUCGGAAUUACUGGGCGUAAAGCGUGCGCAGGCGGUUCUAUAAGACAGAUGUGAAAUCCCCGAGCUCAACCUGGGAACUGCAUUUGUGACUGUAGAGCUGGAGUGCGGCAGAGGGGGAUGGAAUUCCGCGUGUAGCAGUGAAAUGCGUAGAUAUGCGGAGGAACACCGAUGGCGAAGGCAAUCCCCUGGGCCUGCACUGACGCUCAUGCACGAAAGCGUGGGGAGCAAACAGG
rnacentral:rRNA from 1 species